rnacentral:lncRNA from 1 species
AGUUCUCAAUUUUUUUUCACAUUUUUAUCUUUGUUGUUUUUUAUACAAUAUAAUACAAUCGACUUAAAUUAGUUAUCAAUUGGUAAUUUCUUUCAACCUUUGAAGAUUAAACACAAAUAUUCUCAACUCUCAUGGUCACAAUAAUCCACUGGAAAAUAAAACCAUGUUUGGCAUCUUAAAACAAUACCUUUAUUUUUUCGUGACUUGUUUGGAUAAUGAAAUUAGUGUUUCAUGCUUAAAGUUUUAUGAAUGUUUUCGAUUCAAUACUCACAUCCAAUAUAAUACAAUCGACUUAAAUUAGUUAUAAAUUAGUAAUUGCUUUCAACCUUUGAAGAUUAAACACAAAUAUUCUCAACUCUCACGAUCACAAUAAUCCGUUGGAAAAUAAAACUAUGUUUGGCAUCUUAAAACAAUACCUUUAUUUUUUCCGUGACUUGUUUGGACAAUGAAAUUAGUGUUUCAUGCUUAAAGUUUUAUGAAUGUUUUCGAUUCAAUACCCACAUCCAAUAUUUGUUUACCUUAAACAGAAAUUUUGAAUAUUUACAUGUAAAUCAAAAUUCAAAUCAUCCAAAAGAAAUCUAUAAUUUAGUUUACAUGACUGUUUCUUUACUAUUAUAGCAUAUUUUCAAAAUAUAAUCACUGCAAUUCUUUCCACUCUGCAUAAUGUAUAUUUUCAAAACCAUGAUUAAUGGAGACUUUUUUAUCUUAUAUAUACUAGAUAAAUGAAUAUGCGUCUUUCAUUAAAACCUAAGAACUUAUGUGAUAUAUAAGAUGGAUGAC